rnacentral:tRNA from 1 species
UGCCCCGUAGUGUAGUGGCAACACAACUGACUCUGACUCAGUUAUCCCUAGUUCGAAUCUAGGCGGGGCAA